GACGUAGGGGGCAAGCGUUGUUCGGAAUUAUUGGGCGUAAAGCGCUCGUAGGCGGGACAGGAAGUUCGUGUUGAAAGACCUCGGCUCAACUGAGGGACCGGCUCGAAUACUCUUGUUCUUGAGGCAAUCAGAGGGUGAUGGAAUUCCCCGGUGUAGCGGUGAAAUGCGUAGAUAUCGGGAGGAACACCAGUGGCGAAGGCGAUCACCUGGGGGUUGUUCUGACGCUGAGGAGCGAAAAGCUAGGGGGAGCAAACGGGG
rnacentral:rRNA from 1 species